AUUGAACGCUGGCGGCAUGAUUUACACAUGCAAGUCGAACGGUAACAGGCCGCAAGGUGCUGACGAGUGGCGAACGGGUGAGUAAUGCAUCGGAACGUGCCCAGUCGUGGGGGAUAACUACUCGAAAGAGUAGCUAAUACCGCAUACGAUCUAUGGAUGAAAGCGGGGGACCGUAAGGCCUCGCGCGAUUGGAGCGGCCGAUGUCAGAUUAGGUAGUUGGUGGGGUAAAGGCUCACCAAGCCAACGAUCUGUAGCUGGUCUGAGAGGACGACCAGCCACACUGGGACUGAGACACGGCCCAGACUCCUACGGGAGGCAGCAGUGGGGAAUUUUGGACAAUGGGCGCAAGCCUGAUCCAGCAAUGCCGCGUACAGGAAGAAGGCCUUCGGGUUGUAAACUGCUUUUGUACGGAACGAAACGGCUCUGGUUAAUACCCGGGGCUAAUGACGGUACCGUAAGAAUAAGCACCGGCUAACUACGUG
rnacentral:rRNA from 1 species